rnacentral:piRNA from 1 species
UCCCCUCUCUGAAAAAGAAAUCACAGUUGC